ensembl:lncRNA
AUGCCACUGAUAGUGAAUCUUUUGCAGGUCUCUGGUCUGGUGAAUAGUGCCAUCACACAUGAGGAAUUUCUGAGGGAUGGAGGCACCACCAGGAGAGAAGUACCUUUGCCACAUUUACCCUGGCCAGAUUCUUGUUGUAGGUAUAUUCUGUUGCCAUCUUGUUGUUCCUUACUUUACUGCUCUGUGUGCCAACUUUUAGCCAGUAAUCCUUUGCUCCCAUGCAAUCCUUCUCCACCAAAGCACCAACCUUCACCAGCUGCUCCACAGUGUUCACUGUUCCCCGUGGACAACCGGCAACCCUGGGGUUAUUGUUUUUCAAGAUGCGACUCACAAGUUCCUCCUCAGAGAUCCCUGGCUUCCACUUCAAGCAGAAGGCCCGAUAGUCAUAGGCUAAAUCCCUCAGGCGUUGUUUUGGCUGUUGGACCAUCAUCCUCAACCUCUCCUCCACUUCUGAGAGGUAGUCAUCUGAAAGAAAAGCAGCCAUAAAAGCCUUUUUGAAAGACUUCCAAUCCGUAACCUUUGCUUUCUCCACCUUCCACCAGCUCUGUGCAGGUCCUCUCAGGACUGUGCUUAGAGUUCCAAUGAGCUUGGUGCUGGGAAGGGGCCUGAUCUCCAAGAAGUUCUCACAUUGUUCUAGAAAGUUGAGCAGAUCCGCUGUCUCACAUGAGUCGCCAAACACAAGGAACUCAAGGCAUAUGGGAGGCCUUCCACAGAAUGAGGAUGAGGUAGCCAUUACUGAGGAAGUAUGAACAUUUAAGUGGGUGAGAAUGUACAGGGGAAGGAAUAUCAUAUGUUGUACUGUGUAAACUUUGUGUUGGUAUUUUGUCUCUAGAUACAGGAGCUGUGGUCUGCGAAUCGUGGACUGCAGAAAUGUGGGAGGAAGAUGGUGUAUAGGAUUGCAAUCUGGUGAGAUUAGAAGUGCUAGUGUAUCUCAGAUUUUCAUUUGAAUCUCCCAUUUAGUGUCUCGCCUGAGAAAACUUAUUGAAAUAAUCCUCCAGGUCUGCCAAGCUAGCGUCCACAGCCUCCCUGAAACUUUGUUCCCUAUUUAUUGAACUAUCAAGGAACUGUUUGAAAUCAUGUUCCAAUGGUUUAAACUUUUUGAUUAAAGGCCAAUAAAUCCCCUUUAAAUUGUGACAUGUCUGUUUGCAUUGCUUGAACCUCACCAACAUUCAAUAUACAACUUUCUACAUCAUCAUCCUCAGCAUCAGACUGUUCAUUAUCAGAAAGAUGCAAAGAACUAAUCAUGGAGGUGAUUUCAGUGGUAGGGUUACGUCUUUUUACAAAUGGGCCUGCUAAAAAAAUCCAUCCUUGUUUGUUCGGCAUCUGCCAUUGGUUAAUGCACAGACGUGCUUGGAUUAUCAACAUUUCCAUCCUGCACUUCAGUAUCUGCAUCAAUAUCUUCCAUCGCAAGCUAAAAAUCAAAACAACACCACACCAGAGGGUUCCUGCUCCACAGUAUUCACUGUUCCCCGUACGGCCACCAAUAUGUAACGCUCAGCCUUCAAUAAGGUAGGCUACACAAAUAAAGUUAGACUGUUACCCUCCUAAAAGUGUUUUUAAAUGUUCUCACUCAGAAUAAACUGUACAUACUUAAAGACAGAAUGUAAUCACAAAGUGAAUUCUCCAAUACCAUACCUCUGCACAUAUGUACAAAAUAUAUCUGUGUGUGUGAUAGCGUCAGUUCAAGUCCAGUAAAGUGUGUGUGUGUGUGUGUGUGUGUGCGUGUGUUGAAUCGGCCUCACCGGUGAAGCAUAAGAGUCCAGGAGCACAAUGAGAGCAGCACUGCCCUAUGAUGGAGUUCUCAAAGUGAAAAAUAUAAACCAAUUCAGAUUGGUAAUUUCACACGGUAAGAAACGAAAGUCACAGUCGUAGACAGCAAGAGGGGAACUGAGGUAAAUGCCAUUCAGCACAGGAAAUGCUCCUCCUUUCCCCCAGUUAGCCAGCUUGCUUUAUCGGAAAUACAGAAGAUCAGCUGAUGAAAUCAACAUCACCGGGAUUCCCUAACGGGUCGUGACAAAAUUAUUGUGAUAAAACAUGGGAUCAACAACACUCAAAGGGGCAAGACAGG